GAUGAACGCUGGCGGCGUGCCUAACACAUGCAAGUCGAACGACAAGAUGAUGAGAUUGUGCUCUUGACGUUGGCGGCGGACGGGCGAGUGAGGAGUGGAUAACCUACUUAUAUGUCUGGGAUGAUUACGGGGAAAAGGUGAUACUAAUACCGCAUAUAUUGAACCGGAUGGUUCAAUAGAGAUUGACGGCUUUGGCGUUUGUAAUAGCCGGUGUCGGAUUAGCUAGUUGGCUUGGUAACGGCACACCAAGGCAACGAUGCGUAGCCGACCUGAGAGGAUGAUCGGCCACACUGGAACUGAGACACGGUCCAGACUCCUACGGGAGGCAGCAGUAGGGAAUAUUGGGCAAUGGGCGAAAGCCUGACGCAGCAACGCCGCGUGAGUGAAGAAGGUCUUCGGGUCGUAAAGCUCUUUUGUUGGGAAAGAACAGAUGCAGAUUAAACCAUGGACGUCUUGACGGUACCUAAACAGAAAGCACCGGCUAACUACGUG
rnacentral:rRNA from 1 species